CCCGGGCCCGGGGCCAGAUUGCGCGCCUGCGCACUGAGUGAGGGACGGGAGAUUUGCGAUGCAGAGUAGCGCUGCGCUGAAAUAGUUGACAGAUGAAUUACCCCCGAGAGAUGUGGCGAAGGAGCCUAAAUAUUCAUGAGUCUCUCUCUCCUUCUUUUGAGUUGGUGCUGAGAUAUGGAGGGAUUGCGUUAAUGAAUGCAUGCCUGUACACGCGGAAACAGAAACCGGGUAAAGAAGGAACUCUUCAGCUUCAUUUGUUUAAAAUCUACACUUCAUCAACUGUUCCCAUGGAAAGUAACAGUAUAUUGUCAGGCGAUAUAAUUAAUUCUAGGCUCGAUGGAUAAGAAAUGCAACACGUUCUCAUCUCGAAUAUGGUUUCGAUCACACCUGUUCUUGCAAAUAUUUAAUGGAAAUCAUCAUUUUACUGCAAAAUCGAUCAUGUUUAGAUUACAUACAAAUAGUUUUGCACCUAAUCUAAUAUUAAUUUUCUGUUUUAUAGUGUGAAAUUGUCAAAUAAAGUUUAACUAUUCCAGA